GCUCUCCCCGGACAACUAGGAAAAGCCAUGAAAAUCACCUGAAGACUCAACAAGAUAUGACCACAAUUCCUUCAGAAAUGCAUCAAGCCACAGACAAAAAGAAAGAAAGAAAGGAAGAAAGAAAGAAAGAAAGAAAGAAAGAAAGAAAGGAAGGAAGGAAGGAAGAAAGAAAGGAAGGAGACAUGAAGGAUGUGCUGGAAAGGGAAUUCUUCUUCACUGCUGGUGGGACUGCAACUUGGUCUACUUCCUGUGGAAUACAGUGUGGAGACAUUCCCAUUACGUAGCAGUUUUGCUCCUGCAGUUUAUUCAAAAGAAGCACUGGCACCUCUCCCCAGAGAUCUAUGUACACUUCUGUUCACAGAUGCACAGUUUGUAAUCACACAACUCUGGAAAUAACCCAGGUGUCCAACAACAAAUGAGUGGCUAAGAAAGCUGUGUAUAUAGUCAAUGGGAUACUACUCAUCUGUUAAAAAUGAUUAAGUAAUCUUUUUUGCCUUAUGUAGGAUGGGACUUGAAGACACAGAAUUCUAGGGAAAGAGGAGAAAGGAGCAGGUGGAGAACAUGUUUGAGUCCUGACACAUGACGGUGAUAAAGGAACUAAGUUGGGGCCACCAAGUUGCAGAUGCUACCAUGAGGCUAUCUUGACUUCCCUGGGCAUACAACCUCACCAGUGAGUCCGGGAACCUCACCUCCCCAGAACCCUACCCCACUAGAGAAAGACAGAAACAGGCUGGGAGUAUGAAUCUACCUGCUAAUGACCAGGCUCAGCACAGAAACAAUUAUAGAAGCCAGACCUUCUACCUUCUGCACCCCAUAAUGAUCCUGAGUCCAUACACCCAGAAGGAUAAAGAAUAGGGAAACUUCCAAUGGAUGGAAUGAGAUACAGAAACUCUGGUGAUAGCUUUUAAAAAAAUUGCAAUUCCUUCCUCAUUAUCUGGGACUUGGCUCCUUUCCUGCCAUCCAGUAUUAAUGAAACUGAGCUUCAAGCCUGGCCCUCAUCUUCCGAGCUUCUCCAUGUGCUGCCUUCAUCUCAUAACCACUACAGAGAAAGCACCAUUUCAAAGGCCAUUUUCUCCCACAAGCCACAUCGGGAGAUUGUCACCAGGGUGAAAAUGAUUUGAAAACCACACACGAGGUAUGAACAUGUGGAUGAACAAUCAAUGUCAUUAAAUUAUAGCACAUCUAAAGCUUGGGAUCUGAUGUGAUUACAAGGGUGGCAAUAACUUAGCAUCUCAUAAAGAGAAGAAAAUGAGUUAUAAUAUCUGAAAGCCAUCUAAAUAUAUAUACAUACAUAUUCCCCUUAUAAUGACAGCUGGCUACAAGGACAUAAGGCAGAACCUAAAAUAACACACUGAUUUUCUGGGAGUCUAACACACUGAUUUUUCUGGGAGUCUAAUAUGCCAUCCACAACUAACUCUAUCAAGUAUUUUCACCUCCAAACACUCAUUUUGUUAGCUCAUGUUUAAUUUUCUUAAGAUGAAAGAGAAUCAUGAUUCAUCAGAAAUUAAUUCAUGUAUUUUGAAACAGAGGUCCUCCAAAUGUUAUGCUAUCAGUUAAUGGAGGAAACUCAUGAAAGACAAAUUCAUGUACACAGCUAGAUAGCAACUUAAAGUUGAAGCCCUAAGCAUAAGUUCCUCAUUUUGUAGUCUUAUGCUCAUCUGCUUCCCAUCAUAUUUGCCUUUAAAUAUUGUUAGUCCAUGCACCUGGGCCAAAGUGGAUCAAUUAAUCCAGACUAGAGUUUUCUUUAUAGUUGUGACAUUAUUUAGACCAAUGAAUCUUCUCUAUAAACAUCUGUGGUUUUGAUUAACUUCUUCUUGUUUGCUUGAAACUGUAUGGUGUUACUAAAGUCUUACAUGGACCAGAGAAUUUCAUUUUGUUUCCAUUUUAACUGUAUUUUAUGUGGGCCUAAUGGUUUAAGUAGUCUUCCACACAUAGGCACAAGCUCUCAUUUUCUCUUGACUGAUAGUCAGGAGAUACAGCAGG